rnacentral:lncRNA from 1 species
UUUGUUUUGAGUUUUGUGUGGUUGAAGUUUUCAAGUUUUGGGUAAAGAUUCGAUGGACUAUGGAAUAAGGAGUGGCAAGAGCCUAAACUUGGGAGUGCCCAAGGAACCCCAAGGUAAUAUUCAAGGACAACCAAGCAACUAAGCUUGGGGAUGCCCUAGAAGGCAUCCCCUCUUUCGUCUUCGUUCAUCGGUAACUUUACUUGGAGCUAUAUUUUUAUUCACCACAUGAUAUGUGUUUUGCUUGGAGCAUCAUUUUAUUUUGUUAGUGUUUGCUUUAUGUUAGUUAGAAUAAUGUUUUUCUUCUUUAGUUUCAAUAAAAGUGUCAAGGAUAGCCUUUGCCAUGCUUAUUUUGCUAGUAUACAUGUUGCUGUUUGAAAACAGAAAGUUUACCGCUGUUGCAAAAAUUCCCUAGAAAAGUCAGAGCAUGUUAUAACAUUGAAUCUUUUUGCAUAUUGAGCUCUGAUAAAUUUAUUACAGUGGGAAUUUUAGUUCAUAAUUUUUGGAGUCAGGGAAGUAUUGAUACUCUUGCAUUCUUUACAGACUGUACUGUUUUGGCAGAUUGCUGUUAUGGUUGCAUUGUUUGCGUAUGUUUGCUUGUUUAAUGAUUCUAUUUGAGGAUAGGAGUAUUAAAUAUACAGAGGCAUUUAGUAUUCAAUGUUGAAUAAUAAUUUUAGUGAUUUGUUACAGUAGAAAUUGAUAAGGUUUUGCAUUGGUUUAUACUAACCUAUCUCACGAGUUCUUGUUGAGUUUAUUGUGAAUGAAGCUUUUGAUAAAAAGAGAAACCAUGAUAUGAGAGGAAUUAAGGAGACACAAAAGUUCAAGAUUGGGGAUGCCCAAGGCACCCCAAGAUAAUAUUUCAAGAAGUCUCAAGCAUCUAAGCUUGGGGAUGCCUCGGUAGGCAUCCCACCUUUCUUCUUCAACAACUAUCGGUUAGUAUCGGUUGAGCCUAAGUUUUUUGCUUCUUCACAUGAGUUGUGCUAUCCUUGCAAUGUAGUUUUGUGUAGCUUUUCUUGCUGUUUGAAUAAAGUAUCAAGAUCUGAUUCUUUAAUGAGAAAGAGACUUCAUUUAGUUGCAUAAUUAUUUAGCUACUCAUUGAUCUUCACUUAUAUCUUUCGGAGUAGUUUGUCGUUUGCUCUAGUGCUUCACUUAUAUUAUUUUGAGAGUCUUUAAUAGCAUGGUAAUUUGCUUAAUGUUAAUAUACUUGGUGUUCAAGAUAUGUGAAACUUUCUUUUGAGUGCGUUGAAUACUAAGAAAAGUUUGAUGCUUGAUAAUUGUUUUGAGAUAUGGAGGUGAUAAUAUCAUAGUCGUGCUAGUUGGGUGAUUAUGAAUUUGAGAAAUACUUGUGUUGAAGUUUGCAAAUCCCGUAGCAUGCAUGUAUGGUUAAAGUUAUGUAACAAAUUUGAAACAUGAAGUGUACCUGGCUUGUGCAUCCUUAUGAGUGGCGGUCGGGGACGAGCGAUGGUCUUUUCCUACCAAUCUAUCCCCCUAGGAGCAUGCGCGUAGUACUUGAAUUUUUGAUGACUUCUAAAUUUUUGCAAUAAGUAUAUGAGUUCUUUUGAUUAAUAUUGAGUCCAUGGAUUAUACGUACUCUCACCUUUCCGCCAUUGAUAGCCUCUUCGGUGCCGUGCAUUGCCCUUUCUCACCUUGAGAGUUGGUGCAAACUUCGCCGGUGCAUCCAAACCCCGUGAUACGAUACGCUCUAUCACACAUAAACCUCCUUAUAUCUUCCUCAAAACAGCCACCAUACCUACCUAUUAUGGCAUUUCCAUAGCCAUUCCGAGAUAUAUUGCCAUGCAACUUCCAUCAUCAUCAUCGUGACAUGCAUUACUUUUGUCAUAUUGCCAUUGCAUGAUCUUCUAGUUGACAUCGUAUUUGUGGCAAAGCCACCAUGCAUUAUUUUUCAUACAUGUCAGCCGGAGGCAUUCAUAUAGAGUCAUAUCUUGUUCUAGUUUCGAGUUGUAAUUAAUAUGUUGUAAUGAAAGUGUGAUGAUCAUCAUUAUUAGAGCAUUGCCCAAAAAAAAGAAAGGCCAAAAAAAAGAAAGGCCCAAAAAAAGGGAAAGGCCAAAAUAAAAAAAAGGCCCAAAAAAAAGAAAAGAAAAGGGCAAUGCUACUAUCUCUUUUUCCACACUUGUGCUUCAAAGUAGCACCUUGUUCUUCAUGUAGUGAGUCUCAUAUAUUGUGCUUCAAAGUAGCACCAAGUUUUUCAUGUAGUGAGUCUCAUAAGUUGUCUUUUUUAUACUAGUGGGAAUUUUUCAUUAUAGAACUUGGCUUGUAUAUUCCUACGAUGGGCUUCCUCAAAUGCCCUAGGUCUUCGUGAGCAAGCAAGUUGGAUGCAUACCCACUAGUUUCUUUUGUUGAGCAUUCAUAGCUCUAGUGCAUCCGUUGCAUGGCAAUCCCUACUCCUCAUGUUGACAUCAAUUGAUAGGCAUCUCCAUAGCCCAUUGAUUAGCCUCGUCAACGUGAGACUUUCUCCUUUUUUGUCUUCUCCACACAAUCCCCAUCAUCAUAUUCUAUUCCACCCAUAGUGCUAUAUCCAUGGCUCACGCUCAUGUAUUGUGUGAAGGUUGAAAAAGUUUGAGAUUAUUUAAGUAUGAAACAAUUGCUUGGCUUGUCAUUGGGGGUAUAGAAGUUGAGAACAUCUUUGUGUGACGAAAAUGAAGCAUAGCCUAACUAUAUGAUUUUGUAGGGAUGAACUUUCUUUUGCCAUGCUAUUUUGAGAAGACAUGAUUGAUUUGAUUAGUAUGCUUGAAGUAUUAUUAUUUUUGUGUCAGUAUGAACUUUUGUCUUGAAUCUUUCGGAUCUGAAUAUUCAUAUCAUAAUUAAGAAGAUUUACAUUGAAAUUAUGCCAAAGUAUCACUCCGCAUCAAAAAUUCUUUUUUAUCAUUUACCUACUCGAGGACGAGCAGGAAUUAAGCUUGGGGAUGCUUGAUACGUCUCCAACGUAUCUAUAAUUUUUUAUUGCUCCAUGCUACUUUAUCUACUAUUUUAGGCAAUAUUAGGCUUUAUUAUCCACUUUUAUAUUAUUUUUGGGACUAACCUAUUAACCGGAGGCCCAGCCCAGAUUUGCUGUUUUAUGCCUAUUUCAGUGUUUCGAGGAAAAGGAAUAUCAGACGGAGUCAAAACGGAACGAAAUCAACUGGAGAAGUUAUUUUUGGAAGGAAACCAACCUGAUGGGCUUGGACCCCACGUCAGAAGAUACGGGAGAUGCUCACGAGGGUGGGGGGCGCGCCCUCCCCACCUGAGCGCGCCCUCCUGCCUCGUGGGGCCCCCGUAGCUCCACUGAUGUACCCCCUGCACCCAUAUAUACCUAUGUAUCCUAAAACUUUCAGAACAGAAAAUAGAUCGGGAGUUCCGCCGCCGCAAGCCUCUGUAGCCACCAAAAACCAAUCGGGACCCCGUUCCGGCACCCUGCCGGAGGGGGAUCCCAUCACCGGAGGCCAUAUUCAUCAUCCCGGCGCUAUCCAUGACAAGGAGGGAGUAGUUCACCCUUGGGGCUGAGGGUAUGUACCAGUAGCUAUGUGUUUGAUCUCUCUCUCUCUCUCUCGUGUUCUCUCUCGUGUUCUUCUAUGGCACGAUCUUGAUGUAUCCCGAGCUUUGCUAUUGUAGUUGGAUCUUAUGAUGUCCCCCCCCCUCUACUCUCUUGUGAUGAAUUGAGUUUCCCCUUUGAAGUUAUUUUAUCGGAUUGAGUCUUUUAUGAACACUUGAUGUAUGUCUUGCGUGGGAUAACCGUGGUGACAAUGGGUUAUUCUAUUGAUCCACUUGAUGUAUGUUUUGGUGAUCAACUUGCGGGUUUCGUGACACUUGGGAACCUAUGCAUAGGGGUUGGCACACGUUCUUGACUCUCCGGUAGAAACUUUGGGGCACUCUUUGAAGUACUUUUAUGUUGGUUGGAUGAAUCUAAGAUUGUGUGAUGCAUAUCGUAUAAUCAUGCCCACGGAUACUUGAGGUGACAAUGGAGUAUCUAGGUGACAUUAGGGUUUUGGUUGAUUUGUAUCUUAAGGUGUUAUUCUAGUACGAACUCUUUUAUAGAUCAAUCCGAAAGAAUAGCUUUGUGGUGGUUUCGUACCCGACCAUAAUCUCUACGUUUGUUCUCCGCUAUUAGUGGCUUUGGAGUGACUCUUUGUCGCGUGUUGAGGACUUCUCAUAUGUUCUAUCUAUGUUAUUAUUGUUGAGAGAACUUACACUAGUGAAAGUAUGAACCCUAGGCCUUGUUUCCUAUCAUUGCAAUACCAUUUACGCUCACUUUUACCGCUUGCUACCUUGCUGUUUUUAUUAUUUCAUAUUACAAAAACCCAUAUCUACUAUCUAUUUUGCACUUGUAUCUUCAUCUCUUCGCCAAACUAGUGCACCUAUACAAUUUACCAUUGUAUUGGGUGUGUUGGGGACACAAGAGACUUUUUGUUAUUUGGUUGCAGGGUUGCUUGAGAGAGACCAUCUUCAUCCUACGCCUCCUACGGAUUGAUAAACCUUAGGUCAUCCACUUGAGGGAAAUUUGCUACUGUCCUACAAACCUGUGCACUUGCAGGCCCAACAACGUCUACAAGAAGAAGGUUGUGUAGUAGACAUCAACGACCCAUAGCACCUGGGUUGGCCAUUGUUGCAGUCGGUGUUGUCAAGCAUUGUUGGCGCAAUUAGAAGUUACCAUGGUCGAUGUUGUCGAGGACAUUGAUGCAGCGCCGCCGGUGCUGUAGAGGAGGAAUGCUUGGUUCUGCAGAGGGGACCACCUCAAUGGAGCUGCAAUGCAACACAAGUUGUGUUGCGACCCUAUGGAUCUCGCAGGCGACCAAGAGAUGCUUCCAUGCAGCAUGUGUGGUGUCACGUUCUCGCAAAUCUUGCAGGGUGGGGGAGUUGCAGUGCAACACAUGGUGCUAUGAUCGACGUACCUCACCGGCGAUGGAGCUGCAGUGCAGUGUUCAUGGUGUUGCAACCGUCUCAUCGGUAGAGCGACAGAGUUGCAGUGCAACACGUGGUGAUCUGACCGGCAGACCUCACCGAUGGUGGAGUUGAGUGCAACAUUCAUGGUGCUGCGACGUCUCAUCAGCGGCGCGACAGAGCUGCGGUGCAGUGUGUGUACUACUGCAACCGACGGAUCUCACCGGUGGUGGAGCUACAAUGGAGCGUGCAUGGUAUUGCGACCCAUGGAUCUCGUCGGCCGGGGAAUCUGCAAUGUGACUCAUGGUUUACUGCGUGUAUAUCAGCUUUGCUUUGUCGGCUGCUGCUAGGUGACAACACUGCCGAAGGGAUUUGUGCGAGGACAAAAAGAUAGGAAAAAGUCCAUUUUAAACCCUGAACUCGUAGAGGUUCGGCGAAACAAACCCUCAAGUCGAAAUCCCGGUCGAUUGCACCUUGAACUAUGCAAUCCCGGUCUAAACUGAACCCUGGAGUCGUUUGGCAAACCAGGAUCAACGACGUGUCACAGGAUGGCCGGGAUUGGUGCCAUUUCGCCGCACUGUUCCCCAUUGGGCCGGCCCGCUUUAGUUUUGUUUUUCCUUCUUUUAAAACGCGCAGUUUUUUUUAUUCCUUUAAAACUGCAAAAAAAGAAAAGAACGUAGGGAGACUUGAACCCGUGACCUGCUGCUGUUAGUCGACGGAAGUAACCACCAGGACAACACAUCAUUGUUCACUUCCUCCCUGUUUCCUCUUUUUCUUCUUUCUUUUGCUGUUCUUUUUAUUUAUAUUUUUCGUUUUUAAUUUUUUGUUAAAUUCGUGGACAUCUUAGUAGGGAAUACCAAACGAAAAAAAACUCGUGAACCAAUUUUUUGAAAGGAAAAAGGCCGCGGUUUUUUUAUAAAAAAUUGAUGGAUUUAGAAAAAUUCAAAUGUUUUCAAAAGAAGUUCAAAAUAUUUCAAAAGAAAAGUUCUCAGAAUUUUGAAAGAAGUUGUAAAAAUGAAAAGAGUUCAUGGAUUUGAAAAAAGUCCACGGAUUCAAAAAAAAGUCCACGAGUUUUGUAAAAAAAUUCACGCAUUAGAUAAAAACGAAAAAAGCUAAGAAAUUGGAAUAAAUUAUUCAGAAGAGGAGAGGUGGCGUGGUUGGUAAGGACAGUUUUUGCACCCUACGUUUUGUAGGGAAGUUCACAAAUUUGGAUAUAUUUUCAUCAAAGUUAGAAAAAGUUCAUCAAAUUUGAAAAAAUGUUAGUCGACUUGAAAAGUUCAUCAAAUUUAGAAAAAUUUCAUGAAUUCAAAAGAUUCAAAAAAAAGUUCACAGAAACGAAAAAAUUUCAUAAACUCAAGAAAAGUUCACGAAAUUGAAAAAAGAAGAAAAACGGCCAAAAAAGCAAACAAGCUGUAAUCUAGCACAAACAAAUGAUCGUUAUUAAAAACAUAGUAAAAGAAUAAAGUAUCACGAAGCGGAUGUUCUCCCGGAUGUUUAGCGUGCUUGUACAGUGCCUGUGAGGUGCUGGGUUCGAAACCCCACGGCGCACCUUUUUUGAAAACGUUUUGCAGAAAAACGUAAAGAAAAAAGAGUAUGAUAGGCUGGCCCAGUGCGCGCUGUGGUCACCAUCGCUGAUGCUUGGCCCGCGAGCCAGACAAAUCCCUGCCACGUCAGCGUUUUUAUGUCUCAAAUGACGUCAAGGUUCGAUUUAGACCAGGAUUGCAUAGUUCAGGGUGUAAUCGACCGGGAUUUUAAUUUGAGGGUUCAUUUCGCCAAAUCUCUACGAGUUUAGGGUUUAAAGUGGACCUUUUCCAGACGAUAAGGAGGGGUUGAUCAUACUGCUGUCAGUGGCACAAUUUGACGGUUGUCAGAUCGAUCGAUUUUCCGCAAAAUCAAUUGGUUGAUUCCUAGCAGCCUCCAAAAAAAUUGCAUAAAAAUCAGCUAAAAAAUUGAAGCUUUUUCCAUGCGGCAAUGCACAUCUAUGUAGCUUCAUCUUCUUCCUGCUAGCUAUUAUUCUUCUUCGCUGCUUGCAUUUUCAUGGACGGGCAUGUGAUGCUCCAAACAUUGAACCGCACUUGUUACUUAACGCAUGCCAGACAGAUUCAAUAAACCUUGGACUUUGUUUUUGGGGGGUCAAAAAGAGCUGACACACACCACAUUACAUUACAUGCAUGCAUGGGUUUCAUGUUUCCAUGUUCUUCUUUAUGCAAAAGGGUCAAUAAUGGGGAUGAUUAAGGAUUAUUUGAAACAAAUAAAUAAAAACAACAAAAAUGGCGGCCAAAAACAGCUACAUGUUUCACGACUUUCC